rnacentral:rRNA from 1 species
GAGUUUGAUCCUGGCUCAGGAUGAACGCUAGCGGCAGGCCUAACACAUGCAAGUCGAGGGGUAACAGAGAGUGCUUGCACUUUGCUGACGACCGGCGCACGGGUGCGUAACGCGUAUGCAACCUACCUUUUACUGGAGGAUAGUCAAUAGAAAUGUUGAAUAAUACUCCAUACGAUCUUUGAGUGGCAUUACUUAAAGAAGAAAGCUCCGGCGGUAAAAGAUGGGCAUGCGUCCUAUUAGUUAGUUGGUGAGGUAACGGCUCACCAAGACAUCGAUAGGUAGGGGCCCUGAGAGGGGGAUCCCCCACACUGGUACUGAGACACGGACCAGACUCCUACGGGAGGCAGCAGUGAGGAAUAUUGGACAAUGGAGGCAACUCUGAUCCAGCCAUGCCGCGUGCAGGAAGACUGCCCUAUGGGUUGUAAACUGCUUUUAUACAGGAAGAAACCUACUUACGUGUAAGUAGCUGACGGUACUGUAAGAAUAAGGAUCGGCUAACUCCGUGCCAGCAGCCGCGGUAAUACGGAGGAUCCAAGCGUUAUCCGGAAUCAUUGGGUUUAAAGGGUCCGUAGGUGGUUUAUUAAGUCAGAGGUGAAAUCCUAUCGCUCAACGAUAGAACUGCCCUUGAAACUGAUAGACUUGAGUUAUUGUGAAGUAGUUAGAAUAUGUAGUGUAGCGGUGAAAU